rnacentral:rRNA from 1 species
CCUACGGGAGGCAGCAGUGAGGAAUAUGGUCAAUGGCCGAGAGGCUGAACCAGCCAAGUCGCGUGAGGGAAGACGGCCCUACGGGUUGUAAACCUCUUUUGUCGGGGAGCAAAGAGAGUCACGUGUGACUCAUUGAGAGUACCCGAAGAAAAAGCAUCGGCUAACUCCGUGCCAGCAGCCGCGGUAAUACGGAGGAUGCGAGCGUUAUCCGGAUUUAUUGGGUUUAAAGGGUGCGCAGGCGGCCUGUUAAGUCAGCGGUAAAAGCCCGGGGCUCAACCCCGGCGAGCCGUUGAAACUGGCGGGCUGGAGUUGGAGAGAAGUACGCGGAAUGCGCGGUGUAGCGGUGAAAUGCUUAGAUAUCGCGCAGAACUCCGAUUGCGAAGGCAGUUCACUGGACUGCAACUGACGCUGAGGCACGAAAGCGUGGGUAUCGAACAGGAUUAGAUACCCGAGUAGUC